ensembl:lncRNA
GCCUUGGGCAGCCUGCCCCAAGUGUCAUUGCUUUGCACACAGGUCCCUCCCCUGUGCCCCGCUCCGCCACAGCACUGUCACUGGGUUUUGUGUUUCACGUGUAUCUGCUACUCUGCUGGACUAAGAAGAACUAGGGGAGAGUGUCUUCCUCACCCUUGGAUCCCAGAGGAUGCACAAGGCCUGGCCCAGAGCAGCUGCCCUUGGGCUUCCCAGAGAAAUCUUGGAGGGCUGAGUUCACAGCUUUGCUGGAGAUUCACAGCUGGAAUAAGAUGUUCAAGCAAGGAACACGAAGAGGAAUACAUCCCUUUAAUGUAAAAGUAGACUCGAUGGAGUUGUAAAGAGAAGAGGAGAAAGGAGUUUCAAGUUUCCUUUCCUGGAGAAAAUCAUCAUCUCAAGUUCGGAACAGGACAUAAUCUGAAAGCAAGUGGCUGAAGGUGGUCUGGAGUUCCCAUGUGGAGGGAAAAAAAGAGAAAAAAAGAAAUCAAAGUAAAAAAGAAGAGAAGAAAAAAAGAACAGUGAACAUAAUUAAGAAGCAACGUUAUGAAUUCAAAGACACUAUUUGCAAGUGAAAAACGAGCUUCACUGUGUUGUUUUUUAUCCCAAAGUCAACCUGAAGGAACAGCCUAACUUUUUAAAG